rnacentral:rRNA from 1 species
ACCAGAGCCAGAUCUCCCUGCAGUUCUCACCUGGUUUCCCUCUGAAGCUAAGCAGGGUUGAGUGUGGCCAGUAUCUAAAUGGGAGACCUCCUGGGGGAAAACUAAGGUUGCUGCUGGAA